UAAAUAGGGACUAGUAUGAAAGGCACCACGAGGGCUUAACUGUCUCCCUUGUUCCAAUUAAUGAAACUGAUCUUCUCGUGAAGCCCAUGGAGCUUUAAACUUAUCACCAUUUACUUUUGUUUAUAUCAUUACAUGUAGUAAAAAUGUUACCUGAUAGUUUUCGGCUGGGGUGACCCUGGAGAAAAAUAAAUCCUCCAGGAUGAACGGAUAUAAAAUCCUUAUCAAAGAGCUACAGCUCUAAGAAUCAACAUAUUGACAUUAUUUGAUCCAAUUAAUUGAUCAACGAACCAAGUUACCCUGGGGAUAACAGCGCAAUCCAUUUCAAGAGCCCUUAUCGACAAAUGGGUUUACGACCUCGAUGUUGGAUCGGGGUAUCCCAGUGGCGCAGUCGCUACUAAAGGUUCGUUUGUUCAACGAUUAAUAACCCCACGUGAUCU
rnacentral:rRNA from 1 species